ensembl:lncRNA
UUCCUGGCCAUGGCAGAUGGCUGCCCUCCCUGAGCCUUGAUCUGUUGGAAGUUUCUGCCUCUUAAGUGGGAGUUUUGCCUCUAACUGCUUACUCAUGAGGGAGAUCUUCAUAUAACUAUAUGUGACUUGAGAUGACAAUCGUUGGGAUUUGGCACCAAAUUAAUAAAUUAAAUCAAAUAAAGAAAUAAAACGACUUGUUUGCUCAUUUUGAUUGUGGGGUAAAUGCAAUCUGUGGACUUUUCAACACAAUCUUUAUUAUUCCCAAGACAGAUGCAAACAAUGUAUUUUGAGGCCAUUCAGAAACAAAGCCACUUCGUUUAUAGAUUGGAACCUUCUGUUUGUGCUUACCAAAGUUGCUGUGUGUUAUUUGGUAGAUUACAUUAAUUUACUGGGUGAAAAUGGUUUCUCUAAUGAAUAAUGGGGGGGGAGAGAGACCCUAAUACAACAGAUAUUGAAAUAGAGAUUGCUCUGUGAAAUGCCAGCAGUAAAAUUAUCCUGUUUUAUAAAAAGACUUUGCAUAUACUUUUCUUGCACAUGUAGAAACUUUUUUUUUAGCAGAAGUAAAACAAUCUAGCCUAAGUUAGGAAUAAUCGAAUAUAUUUGAAAUAAGAAAUGAAACUGUGACAAAAUUUACAUUGCAAAUGCAUAUUAUCACAACAAAGCAAUGCAAUAUGUACAUCAGAUGACAGAUACAAUAUACAGACUUGAUACAUUCUAUAAUAUGCUUAAAUAUGGCAGUACAAGAGAAAUAUUUUCAUUGCAAAGAUAUAUUUUAAACAUAGCAUGAACAAAAUAUACAGCAUAUUCAAGAGGACUGCAUUUCUGUAUAAUCAGAAUAUCAAAGCAUAUCAACUUCACUUUAGUUUUGCUUUCUCUUGCAAAUGCUAACCCAUUUACAGUGUCGUCAAAUCUGUCCAUUCACUCUUCUAACCAACAAUCUAUCCAUGCCUCGCCCGUCACACAGCAGUCUGUCAAGCCAAUUUUUCUCAUCCAUCCUUUGGAAUUCUCAUGUAUCCAUUCACUUCUCAUCCACCCAUGAACCCUUCUAAGCAUCUAUCCAUCCACUGCUCAUCUUAAACUUGUCUUUUCAAAGACUGAUCAACGCUACUUACUUGUGGUUUGUAACAAGGUUCAAUCUUAUGUUCUAACAUGCAUUGUAUGAAGACUUUGCUGUUUGAUAUCUUUUGGUUUUCUUGUUUCCAUUUCUAAGAUUUACCAUCUAAAUGAAAAUCAAAUAAGUCGUUUUCCAGCCAGUUCUCAUUCAGAGGAUGUCAAAUGAUGCCUUUUUGACAAAGACACUGGCAGUUCACACAUACAUUCAAAAUUCCUUUGUUGUUGGUGCUACAAUGAUAUAGAUAUAUGGCAACUAUGAGAUGAAUUUACUCUAAACUAUUUACAUAUAAUACAUACUUACAAAUACCAUUUCACGUGUUUAACCACACUAGGUAACCAUCAUUUUCUUUUAAACGCAUAGAUUUCAGAUAAUGAAGAGGUAUAUUUAAUCUAAACCACAACCUUUGUCAAACAUAGUCAAGUCCUUAAAUCAAUAUGUGCAAGUAAAAUGAGAGUAUCAGUUAUAUUAAGCAGUAUGUUAAUCAGUACUUGAUUCCACCUAGAGCGAUCAUUAAACCACACCCAAGAAAGAACUCCAUCAUUUAUGCAAAAAUCACCAUGUAAGGUAAUCUGCAAGGCAUGUGAGGGGGCAGUUUCUCAUAACUCCCAAAAUAUUGCUUUUAAGCUACAUUAAAUCACAAACCUCAUUAUGCUCUUUAAACGUUGUUUUCAAAAGUGUGUGUGAAUGAUGCACAGAGUGAGCAGGAAAGAGUUGAGUUGAAAUACUGAGAUGAACUGGACCAGGUUGCUAAGAGCAGCAUGACCAUGGGGCAGUGAGGAAAUGGGGAUAUUGUGCCCAGGCAUGGUAGUAGGAAACUGUGCCUGGUGUGAGUACACCCUUAUGGCUUUCCAUUUUUAACUUCCAGAUGUGUUCUUUGUUUAGAAAAGGACAGUUAUCUCUCAGUCUCAAAUAUCUUUAUGGCUGAUUCACAGAGGCAUCAAACCAAGGGACAUGAUGUACAUGUGUGAAAUGCCAGCAGCAUUUGACAGAAUGGCAGCGUUUGUGUUGCAUUAUCCUUGCUGUGAUAUAAUAUGCCAUUUAUCUGCAGCUACAGUUCUGCUUCCGCAGUGACUAGUCUAUACAAUUCAUCCUAGCAGUAGAAAUGCAAUACAGUGUUGAAAAGCCUGUGAGGGAGCAAUGGAGUACGGCAAUACAGCAGUUAUACAUAAAAUGGAUCCCUCAAAAUUAUGCUAACACUGAUGUUUGUUUACAUUUGUCAAAUGCGUCCGUGGCCCUCACCAAGUCCUAUGUCCAGUCUACAGAUCCAAAAGAACAACAACACCAAAAAAACAUUAUACACCUUAUGAAACCUUAGAAAAAAUGGUGCUGUUUACUAAAAAUAUUUUCCCUGAAAAAAGAAAAACAAACUUCCCUGACUUUUUCUACAACAUAGUGAAGUUUACUUUGGGGAGAAAAAAGGGCAUGAGUGCUAUCUGUCAGAGAAAUGCAUUUCACCUACAAAACUGAAGGUGGGAACAUAUGCUAACUUCUCAGCAGCAAAAACACGGGUGUAAGCACUUUCAGCUGGACCUCAAACAACUCUCAUGAAUCCAAUAACAUGUUGCAAAGCUGAACUAUUGCUUGGAUUCAGCAGAAAAACUAAAUCCUUCAAUAAAUUCCAAGGUUGGAAUAUGAUCAAUUGGGUUUCUCAGUGAGUAUGCUUCUACGAAUUAGUUAAGGCAACACAAACACAGAGAUAAAAUAAUUCCUCAAUAGGGAAUCUGUGAGCGUAAAUUAAUACAAUAUUUGGAAUGUUCUCAAUUUAAAAAUGAGCUUUCUCACAGUGGCAUGAAGUCACCCUUGCAGAAACUCAUAUCUGGGAUUAGAUUGCUUAGAAAGCACAUUUUCUAGCUAUUGUACAGUGCAUGCACACAAAUCAGAAACUAUGUAUGAAUACCAUAAGUCCUGUCUUUGAAUAGCAGCUGGCAUGCAGGGAAUCAAUGUGAAAUGUUCUUAACAAGAUUGGUAGUGAAAAUCUCAUUAUGUAAAAAUGAGUCUUACUUUAUCUCGGUGGCAUGCAGCUCAACACAUCGUAGAGAUAAUUCCAUUUCCUUAAACAUUAAUGCUUCAUCUCCAUCAAAAGCCUUUUGACUUCUUCUGUGUGCUAUUCAUUGAAGCUAUAUAGAGCAUAAAAUGGAAAACAUGAUUGUUUUACUUCUCAUGUAUUUUCUGAUUAAUUAGCUAUCAUUAACUGAUAAAGGAAAUUCUUCUUGAAUGACUUUUCCCCACAUUUUGCACCCCUGAUACAGCAGCAGACUUUGGAACUAAAACUGAACAAAUGAAUGCAUUUUAUAUGAACAAUGAGACAGAUAUGUGUAAAUUAAACGGGUUUGCUUCUAGUGACAUCCAACUCUGCAGUUCUGCUGAGUUCUUU